UACAGAGGGUGCAAGCGUUAAUCGGAAUUACUGGGCGUAAAGCGUGCGUAGACGGUUGCGUAAGUCAGAUGUGAAAGCCCCGGGCUCAACCUGGGAAUUGCAUUUGUGACUGCACGGCUAGAGUGUGUCAGAGGGGGGUAGAAUUCCACGUGUAGCAGUGAAAUGCGUAGAGAUGUGGAGGAAUACCGAUGGCGAAGGCAGCCCCCUGGGAUAACACUGACGCUCAUGCACGAAAGCGUGGGGAGCAAACAGG
rnacentral:rRNA from 1 species